GCCGAAGUGGCGGAAUUGGCAGACGCGGCGGAUUCAAAAUCCGUUGCCAGCGAUGGCGUCCCGGUUCAAGUCCGGGCUUCGGCACCA
rnacentral:tRNA from 2 species